UACGUAGGGGGCAAGCGUUGUCCGGAAUUAUUGGGCGUAAAGCGCGCGCAGGCGGUUUUUUAAGUCUGGUGUCUAAGUGCGGGGCUCAACCCCGUGAUGCACUGGAAACUGGGGAACUUGAGUGCAGAAGAGGAAAGCGGAAUUCCACGUGUAGCGGUGAAAUGCGUAGAUAUUGGGAGGAACACCAGUGGCGAAGGCGGCUCGCUGGACCGGUUCUGACGCUGAUGCGCGAAAGCGUGGGGAGCAAACGGG
rnacentral:rRNA from 1 species